rnacentral:lncRNA from 1 species
CCGAAGAAAAGAUAUCCUUUUCCACUCUCUGUCUCCCUUGAAAGAACUUGAGGUUUUUGCUUUCACUCUCCAAACCUGUGCAGAUACCAGCCUUUUCAUCUUAUGGCUUCUCCACAUGGCCAGAAGAUUGUUAUGACCUCUAUGCAGUUCAGCCUUGGAUGGAACUCCUUACAGGCUGAAUUUGAGCCCUGGCACAAGCGCACUGAGUCCUGCUUUAAUCCUUCUCAGCCAGUUUGCUCAGACAAAUGCAGGAUUACAUUGGCAAAACCAGAACUUGCAGGUGGGCAAGCUCUUGGGAAAAUAAACACUGUUAUUUU